UGGGGAAUAUUGCACAAUGGAGGGAACUCUGAUGAAGCGACGCCGCGUGAGUGAAGAAGUAUUUCGGUAUGUAAAGCUCUAUCAGUAGGGAAGAUAAUGACGGUACCUAACCAGAAAGCCACGGCUAACUACGUGCCAGCAGCCGCGGUAAUACGUAGGUGGCAAGCGUUGUCCGGAAUUAUUGGGCGUAAAGCGCGCGCAGGUGGUUUAGAAAGUCUGAUGUGAAAGCCCACGGCUCAACCGUGGAGGGUCAUUGGAAACUAAUAAACUUGAGUGCAGGAGAGAAAAGUGGAAUUCCUAGUGUAGCGGUGAAAUGCGUAGAGAUUAGGAGGAACACCGGUGGCGAAAGCGGCUUUUUGGCCUGCAACUGACACUGAGGCGCGAAAGCGUGGGGAGCAAACAGG
rnacentral:rRNA from 1 species